CCGUUUCAAUUUGCUGCGGACAGAUAAAAUGGAUAUGCGCAUCAAUCCCGCCUGCUGUAAGAAUCUUGCCUUCCCCGGCAAUCACUUCUGUGGAAGCACCAAUCACUAUAUCAACGUCAUCCAUCAACAGCGGAUUCCCCGCUUUACCAAUCGCGGAUAUGUAACCAUCCUUCAACCCGACAUCUGCUUUAUAUAUGCCUGUGAAAUCGAUAAUGAUCGCAUUUGUAAUAACGGUAUCCACACUGUCAGCCCGGGUGGCAAGCGGGUGCUGGCCCAUCCCAUCCCUAAUGA
rnacentral:sRNA from 1 species